rnacentral:rRNA from 1 species
GCAGCAGCCGCGGUAAUACGAAGGGGGCUAGCGUUGUUCGGAAUUACUGGGCGUAAAGGGCGCGUAGGCGGCCAUUCAAGUUAGAUGUGAAAGCCCUGGGCUCAACCUAGGAAUUGCACUUGAUACUGUUUGGCUUGAGUUCGGGAGAGGUGAGUGGAAUUCCCAGUGUAGAGGUGAAAUUCGUAGAUAUUGGGAAGAACACCAGUGGCGAAGGCGGCUCACUGGACCGACACUGACGCUGAGGCGCGAAAGCGUGGGAGCAAACAGGAUUAGAUACCCGUGUAGUCCCUGUCUCUUAUACA